rnacentral:lncRNA from 1 species
GGCGGGGUGUGUACUUGUGUGACUUGAUGUGGCGUUGCAUGUGGAAGGCCCCGUUGGUAAUGAUCGCAGACUGGUCAUUUGAUGAUACGUGUGCACAGUGGUAGUGCUUGGGUGCCUCAAGAGGGAAUCGCAGAAUAUAGCCAUAGAUCUAAAAGUCAUAGAAGAUUUUUUAAACUGUUAUUUGAUUUUGUGUUGUUUCAGCAGUAGUAUGUCCUUCAACAAUCUGUUAUGUCCAACCAUGGAGUGAGUCGCAUGUGACUAAGUCAACCAAACAGGAAAACAACAACAAUCAGUCAGCAAUGGAAUUAGUCAGUGGAAAACAACACCUUCAAUCCUGAGGAUGGUUUUGAGUUUAUCUAUUCAUGAUUGAAAUUUGCCAUGUUUUCAGGCCUUCCGAACUUUACCAUUUUCAUGGUAUACUUAAUUGCUUGUCGGUGGAUUGUUGUUGGCAUCAUUUGAAUGGUAUGGUCCAUAUAAGCAGUGUUAUGAUGCACUUCUUAAAUACACCAAUCCAUGAGAAAAUAUUCUAAUUGAAAUUAUGGAAAUUUCUGCCCUUCAUGCAGAACUGCACAAUGAUGGGUUUGUAUAAACAAGCUUAAAAUAACAAACAGUAUUUUUGGUUUGGCUUACACAUACAACUCUAUGACAUGUUGAUGUUAGCUAAAUUGUUAUUAAUCAUAGGACUAGGUAGUAUGAAAUGAAAUAUCUUCUCUUGGAAGCUUGUGUCUAUGGGUUUGUUUGAGAUGACCCUUAAGGCAGGAAGCUUUUCCUGCUUCUUACGAAAAGGGACAUUGGAUGCCUUGAUGUCUAAUACCAACCAAGUGACAUUGCAAAGAUAGGUAGAGUAAUCGCAAUGUUGUGGAAAUAAUUCGCGAGAGAUAUGCCAAUAGGGUUUCGCUGUUUUCAAUUCGCAAUCAUAAUGGAUUCGAAGAGGAUAUUGAUGGAGUUUUGGUAUAAAAGAUUGUUUAAAGGUUGAUUUUCAAUAGACAUAGAUAGUCAUUUGAAUGGUGCUGUUCAUAUCUGCAGCCUUGCAGUGUGCAAAAAUAGACGGUAAAAAAAUCUGCUCAUCAUGCCGAUCUGCACGAUGCCAGCUUCAUUAAGCAAUCUUGAAAUGACCUAUGAACAGACUACACAGUAUUAAAGGACUUUUCCCCUGAGAAAAUUUGUAGCUGUGGACUUUCUUUAGAAUACUCUUGUAUCAAAUAUUUUCCUGCUUCUUGAAACAUGGAAAAUAGGAUUUCUCGAUGCCAACCAAAUGUCCUUGCAAAUAUUGUAAAAAGAUGUUAAAGGUAUUUGACAAAUCUGUAAUCAUGUUAAUAAAGUGGCUUUUUUGGUA